GGAGGAGCGCAGGCGCCGCCCGGCCGCGCCUUCAGGUACGGGCAACGAGGGCGGCUCCGCCUGCCCAGGAGUCGCCUCUGGGGCCCGCUUCGGGGCGCUUGCUUUAAGAGGCGUCCCCGUUGCCGACCCGGGCGCUACUCCCGAGGCCGCGCCGCCGCGAGCGGGAGGAAGCCGCCUUGGCCCGCCCCGAUCCUCCCCACGCGGAAAGCCCCGCCUGAGCGCCGAGGGACCUUACUCCCGAGGAGCCGGAAGGGUUCGCCGCCCGCGCGCCCCGCGGUGAGGCUGAGCCCCGCUUCCUGCAACCGUGUAAGGCAACGCUGCUGGGCGUAGCUACUCGGAAGUAAAGCCCAUGGCGUAAGCGCGUAAAGGGUUUUCCUGCGGGUGCAAGUCCGAUGCAAGUAACACUUGGAAAUAAAAACCCACCCGGGGUUGAAUGGGACUCCUCGUGUCCGCCAAAGAAGCGCGCGAUCCUUGCUUGCCCUCUCGGGUCUGGACCGCUCCUGGUAGAAGGAAAGAAGAAAUCAAACAAUAUAUACACCAAGGUUCAACAUACAAACAAUCGUGAUAGAUGAAUUAAUACCUCACAGGGUUGUUGCGAGGAUGAAACGGGGAGGGGAGAACCGUGCGUGCGCCACUUUGAGCUCCUUAGAGGAAAGGCGGGAUAUAAAUGUAAUAAAUAACUAAAAGGCAGGUGGUGAAAUGAAGGGGAAAGUUUUGGUGGUGUGACCCUCAACCCUGCCUGUGCAAGUAUACUGAAAAGCAAGCCUCUCCGGGUUCAUUGGAACUUAACUCCCAGGCAACUAUGCCUGCGGCUGUAGUGAAAAGAUGUGUAGAGACCCGCAAGGAACUGAAAAACAGAAAGCCGAAGAACCAAUCGCGCAUCUAAGCAUCUUGAUCUCCGAGUUACACCGGCCCAUCCCUUACCAGUGCCACUCCCUCUCAGAGACUGGAGUCCGGCCCUUGGUUACCACAGGUGGAAUCCACAAAAUAUUUUAACCCCCUUUUUAUUAUUUAAAACCAAGCAAGGGUGAAAGUGGAUAACAAGAUGAGCUUUGUUUGAAAUGGAAAUUGACCUUCUUCAAGUCGAUUCCAAUUUAUGGCGACCCUGAGAAUAAGUGAUUUCACAUCCGCACUUGGAGAUCAGGAAUACCAUGGUCUGAAUGAUCCCGACUUUAGUGUUCAAUGAUGAACACUGGUGGGACCUAUUUCUGGGUAAAUGCAGGAGCCCAGGAUGGCAAACAGAAGCGCUAAAAACACAUCAAAACAUCAUAAAAACAGACCUUAAAACACACCAAAACAACUUUAAAAACAUUAAAAAAAAAAGCUUUUAAAUGCCUAAUUUAGUGGUGGAGAACCUCCAGAAGUAAUAAACUACAAAAUCUCCGCUCAGCAUCACCAAUUGCCAGAGAUAUCUUUGGCUGAUGCCUCAUGACGCUGCACUUGGCACUGACAUUGCUACUCCCUUUCCUUUGAUGUUGCCUUCGUACAAUGGCUUCUAAAUUAUUUAAAAUGCAAACAUCUGGAUAAAAUAAGCCGGAAACGUCAGGGCUGGCUUUGCACACCUAUGCAUGUAGGGCUGAAGUGGAAACAUGGAAGAAAUUGGAGAAGUUGGAGCAUUUGAAAUGGUGCAAUUUUGAGUGUGGACGAAGUCUCCAAUCAAGCAAAAGUGAAAUUGUACAGACCAUAUCCAGCUGUGAAUAGUUUAAAGUUUUAUUUGAACUUGUGUUUCUUCUUUAAAAAAACAGAUGAUGAAGCUCACAUUUUUACUGAAGCAGGAAGAGUGAGAAUUAGGUAACAGCAAUAUGUUGCUUAUUAUGCUGUUAUGUUGUAAACCACCCUGUAGUCUUUUGACAAAGAGCAGUAUAUAAAGGGUAUUUGAAGUACAAGUGAUUGAUUAUACAUUUUAAAGUGAGUGACAGAAGGAACUCUUGGGUAUAAUGUUAGUGUUUUCUUUCUUUUUUCAAAAAAUUUGAUCGAAAGAUAACCAAGUUUAUUUUUAAUGUAUGUAUAUCAGCACAAAUACAAGUGGCGCACAAACAGAAAUAAACUUUACCUUAAAUUCAGGAAUGUGAAAGAUGUCCUGGUCUCU